rnacentral:rRNA from 1 species
GCUUUCCUACGGGAGGCAGCAGUGAGGAAUAUUGGUCAAUGGUCGGGAGACUGAACCAGCCACGCCGCGUGAGGGAUGAAGGUACAGAGUAUCGUAAACCUCUUUUGUCAGGGAACAAAGGCGGGGACGCGUCCCCGGAUGAGUGUACCUGAAGAAAAAGCAUCGGCUAACUCCGUGCCAGCAGCCGCGGUAAUACGGAGGAUGCGGGCGUUAUCCGGAUUUAUUGGGUUUAAAGGGUGCGC